rnacentral:rRNA from 1 species
AGUGAACGCUGGCGGUAGGCCUAACACAUGCAAGUCGAACGGCAGCACAGUAAGAGCUUGCUCUUACGGGUGGCGAGUGGCGGACGGGUGAGGAAUACAUCGGAAUCUACUUUUUCGUGGGGGAUAACGUAGGGAAACUUACGCUAAUACCGCAUACGACCUACGGGUGAAAGCAGGGGAUCUUCGGACCUUGCGCGACUGAAUGAGCCGAUGUCGGAUUAGCUAGUUGGCGGGGUAAAGGCCCACCAAGGCGACGAUCCGUAGCUGGUCUGAGAGGAUGAUCGGCCACCCGGGAACUGGGAAACGGUCCGAACUCCUACGGGAGGCAGCAGUGGGGAAUAUUGGACAAUGGGCGCAAGCCUGAUCCAGCCAUCCCGGGGGGGUGAAGAAGGCCUUCGGGUUGUAAAGCCCUUUUGUUGGGAAAAAAAAGCAGCAGGUUAAUACCCCGCUGUUCUGACGGUACCCAAAAAAUAAGCACCGGCUAACUUCGU